rnacentral:rRNA from 1 species
AUUGAACCGCUGGCGGCAUGCCUUACACAUGCAAGUCGAACGGCAGCACGGGAGCAAUCCUGGUGGCGAGUGGCGAACGGGUGAGUAAUAUAUCGGAACGUGCCCAGUCGUGGGGGAUAACGUAGAGAAAUUUACGCUAAUACCGCAUACGAUCUAAGGAUGAAAGCGGGGGACUCGCAAGAGCCUCGCGCGAUUGGAGCGGCUGAUAUCAGAUUAGGUUGUUGGUGAGGUAAAAGCUCACCAAGCCGACGAUCUGUAGCUGGUUUGAGAGAACGACCAGCCACACUGGGACUGAGACACGGCCCAGACUCCUACGGGAGGCAGCAGUGGGGAAUUUUGGACAAUGGGCGAAAGCCUGAUCCAGCAAUGCCGCGUGCAGGAAGAAGGCCUUCGGGUUGUAAACUGCUUUUGUACGGAACGAAACGGUCUGCCCUAAUACGGUGGGCUAAUGACGGUACCGUAAGAAUAAGCACCGGCUAACUACGUGCCAGCAGCCGCGGUAAUACGUAGGGUGCGAGCGUUAAUCGGAAUUACUGGGCGUAAAGCGUGCGCAGGCGGUUAUAUAAGACAGUUGUGAAAUCCCCGGGCUCAACCUGGGAAUUGCAUCUGUGACUGUAUGGCUAGAGUACGGUAGAGGGGGAUGGAAUUUCCGC